rnacentral:lncRNA from 1 species
UUCGCUAAGAAGAAGAAGGGGGGAGGCAAACGCUGUAAUGGCGAAGGCUCGUCCCCGGUAUCAGGUUCCGAUGGCCCCUAUGCCGUACUACCCGUAUCCAUACGUUGUCGUAGCUUAAUACCAACAACCGCCUUUCCAGUAUCAACCACAGAGAAGCAAUCAACAAUCAGCUCCUACUCAGAAAGAUCAGAAUCGACAAUACAACUGUGACAAUAAAGGGCAGAAUCAAGGGCAGAAU